rnacentral:snoRNA from 8 species
AAGACUAUACUUUCAGGAAUCAUUUCUAUAGUUCGUUUAUUUGAGAAAUGUGUGUCUAAAGUGGUAAGGUCUCGCUAUCCAUGAUGACGAUU